rnacentral:lncRNA from 10 species
CCUCUCAACCCUAGGUCAGCGGGUUGCGGAGGAUCGUGCGGGUCGCAAAGGGAAGCCGAGUGCUCCUGCGGCUCCCAGACUGCAACCAGUUGCUUCCUCUACUGAAGUCUUGAAACCCCUGAAAGUCAUCCCUGAGGUUUGAAGUUAACUUCUUCUACACCCUGUUAAUGUUGAUAUUUUGACCUCCUUCCAUGAAUCACAAAUGUUCUUAAUGGCAUCUAGAAUGGUGAG